rnacentral:tRNA from 1 species
GGGAGUAUAUAGCUCAGGUAGAGCAUUCGACUGCAGAUCGAGAGGUCCCUGGUUCAAAUCCGGGUGCUCCCU